ACGGAAGGCAGCAGUGGGGAAUAUUGCACAAUGGGGGAAACCCUGAUGCAGCGACGCCGCGUGAGUGAAGAAGUAUUUCGGUAUGUAAAGCUCUAUCAGCAGGAAAGAAAAUGACGGUACCUGACUAAGAAGCCCCGGCUAACUACGUGCCAGCAGCCGCGGUAAUACGUAGGGGGCAAGCGUUAUCCGGAUUUACUGGGUGUAAAGGGAGCGUAGACGGCUUUGCAAGUCUGAAGCGAAAGCCCGGGGCUCAACCCCGGAACUGCUUUGGAAACUGUAGAGCUAGAGUGCAGGAGAGGUAAGUGGAAUUCCUAGUGUAGCGGUGAAAUGCGUAGAUAUUAGGAGGAACACCAGUGGCGAAGGCGGCUUACUGGACUGUAACUGACGUUGAGGCUCGAAGGCGUGGGGAGCAAACAGGAUUAGAUACCCUGGUA
rnacentral:rRNA from 1 species